GUCGUAUGUGAGGGAUCAAUACAGUUGGGUAGCAGAUACAGGCCUUCCCCCCCCCAUGAAGCAAACGCAUCGAUGUUGCCCAGUGAGAGACUGGGUACACAUGUGAAGCCUGCCUAUGCUUUCUGUCCCCUUGACAGGUGAAGUUGCCAGGCAUGACUGUGCGUCACCCAGGAGACAAAGCCCCACCCAUAAAGUGGUGACUCGAGGCGCAAGGGAGUCCGGCGAGAAGUGUGGCGGGCCCAGGUUGCUGCCAGUUCUUUUAGGAUCACCGAGCAGGGUACGCCUUCCCCUGCCCCAAGAUGUGUCAUGGAUUUCGGCUUUCCUGGGACUACCUGAGUGCCUGUGAAGUUUCCAAGUACGAGUGUCCGUCACUCAGGAAACGGAGCCCCGCUCAUGAGAUGUUGACUCGAGGUGUUGGGAAGUCUGGUGAGAAGUGUGGUGGGCCCAGGUUGCUGCCACUGCUGUUUGGAUCAUCGAGCACGGUACGCCUUCCCCUGCCCCAAGAUGUGUCAUGGAUUUUGACUUUCCUGGGACUGCCUAAGUGGCUGUACGUAUGGAGGGACCGUUCCUCUUGCUGAGAAGACUGGGAGCUCUGAGUUCCCCCAACUGCUGGAGGACUCCCAGGUCACUGGCUCUUCCUGGGAGUGGCCCUGCCUGCCCUGCAGAGGUGGGCAGCAAGCCAGCACGUGCUCGGAUCGAUGAUGACACCCUCACAUGCAUUCCUUGGAAAAUCUGAACAAAAUGAGUGAGAACUCACUACCGUCUCCUCAUCGAAACUGAGGUCCAGCACGUUGCCUCCCUUGGGGUUAAGGGUGGGACUGGUUAGCAGUGAAUGCAUCUCCGACUGUGUCACACACAUGCAUGGAAGAGCCAGAUCACUGCCAUUUGUGAGGCUCCCGUCUGAGGGUGGGCCGUGUACAGAUGCUGGAGUGGCUCUUGGAAUGCGAGAUCUGUGGUGAAGGGCACUGGAGCAUAGAGGCAUCUGGCUUGUCCAGUGGUGGCAGGAGUCAGCAGUAGAUCCUGGCUGAGCUCUUGAGCUGUUCACUCGAAAAGGUUCGUUUCCUCCCAGUUCAUGCUGCGAGUGCGCUCAUUGGGGCAGUGGUGAUUUGAAAUCUGAAGCGAGGAAGCUUCUGUGGUUUCUUAUCAGAGCCCCAGGUCAGAUCUGAGGCCUUCGCCAUUGCGGCCCUUGGGUUAAUGAGAUUCCUGGGUGCCCUGUGGGCUGCAGCGGUUGCAAGGACCUGGGGGAAUGGUGUCAGGGGCAAAAGGCAAUAGGCCUCGUUUCUGCCCUUGGCAUUUCCUGUAUUGCAACUUCUAUCACAGUCCUUGAGUCUUGGAGGCUGCCAUGGACUGUGCUGUGGUUCUAGGCUUGCAUUCCUCCUGCGAUUGACCUGAGGCCUAGAGCAGAAUGGUUGUGCAAGUGAGGAAAGGUGCAGUGUGAUUUCCUGGGAAGCUUUCUCCCCUGAGGCUGCAGGCACUCUCGUUUUUUUCAGUGAUACAUACUGUGAUCCUUUUGGAGCUGGCCUAGGCUGGGUACAGAGAGGAGGGCAUUGCUGGUGCCUGGGAGGCUCAGUGAUAGGU
rnacentral:lncRNA from 1 species